rnacentral:rRNA from 1 species
UCAGGAUGAACGCUAGCGACAGGCUAACACAUGCAAGUCGAGGGGCAUCACGGGAGUAGCAAUACAACUGGUGGCGACCGGCGCACGGGUGAGUAACGCGUAUGCAACCUACCUAUCAGAACGGGGAAUAACCCGGCGAAAGUCGGACUAAUACCGCAUAAAACAGGGGCACCGCAUGGUGAUAUUUGUUAAAGAAAUUCGCUGAUAGAUGGGCAUGCGUUCCAUUAGGUAGUUGGUGAGGUAACGGCUCACCAAGCCGACGACGGAUAGGGGAACUGAGAGGUUGGUCCCCCACACUGGUACUGAGACACGGACCAGACUCCUACGGGAGGCAGCAGUGAGGAAUAUUGGUCAAUGGGCGGGAGCCUGAACCAGCCAAGUCGCGUGAAGGAAAGAAGGAUCUAUGGUUCGUAAACUUCUUUUGCAGGGGAAUAAAGUGCAGGACGUGUCCUGUUUUGUAUGUACCCUGAGAAUAAGGAUCGGCUAACUCCGUGCCAGCAGCAGC